rnacentral:rRNA from 1 species
UGUGUAGGCGGCCUUUUAAGUUUGGUGUGAAAUCUCCCGGCUCAACCGGGAGGGUGCGCCGAAUACUGAGAGGCUAGGGUGCGGGAGAGGAAAGUGGAAUUCCUGGUGUAGCGGUGAAAUGCGUAGAUAUCAGGAGGAACACCGGUGGUGUAAACGGCUUUCUGGACCGUAACCGACGCUGAGACACGAAAGCGUGGGUAGCAAACAGGAUUAGAUACCCUGGUAGUCCACGCCCUAAACGAUGCAUAUUUGGUGUGGGCCAUUCAUUUGGUCCGUGCCGGAGCUAACGCGUUAAAUAUGCCGCCUGGGGAGUACAGUCGCAAGGCUGAA